AAGAAUUUAGUUAAAAAAUAACAUUAAUUUGUCAAAUUAAAAUUAUUUUUAAAAAAAAUAAUUCUUA
rnacentral:tRNA from 1 species